rnacentral:rRNA from 1 species
AACGAGCGCUGGCGGCAGGCUUAACACAUGCAAGUCGAGCGCAUCCUUCGGGGUGAGCGGCGGACGGGUGAGUAACGCGUGGGAACGUGCCCUCUUCUACGGAAUAGCCUCGGGAAACUGAGAGUAAUGCCGUAUACGCCCGCAAGGGGAAAGAUUUAUCGGAGGAGGAUCGGCCCGCGUUGGAUUAGGUAGUUGGUGGGGUAACGGCCUACCAAGCCGACGAUCCAUAGCUGGUUUGAGAGGAUGAUCAGCCACACUGGGACUGAGACACGGCCCAGACUCCUACGGGAGGCAGCAGUGGGGAAUCUUGGACAAUGGGGGCAACCCUGAUCCAGCCAUGCCGCGUGAUCGAUGAAGGCCUUAGGGUUGUAAAGAUCUUUCAGCUGGGAAGAUAAUGACGGUACCAGCAGAAGAAGCCCCGGCUAACUCCGUG